UACGGAGGGUGCAAACGUUGCUCGGAAUCAUUGGGCGUAAAGCGCACGUAGGCGGCCCGUUAAGUCGGAUGUGAAAGCCCUGGGCUCAACCCAGGAAGUGCAUUCGAAACUGGCAGGCUUGAGUAUGGAAGAGGGUCGCGGAAUUCCCGGUGUAGAGGUGAAAUUCGUAGAUAUCUGGAGGAACACCGGUGGCGAAGGCGGCAUCCUGGACCAACACUGACACUGAGGAGCGAAAGCCAGGGGAGCAAACGGG
rnacentral:rRNA from 1 species